GAGGAGUGAUCCUAUGUGAUUUGUUAGACUGAGUUCUAAGAUCUUGGCCAGGGCAGUAAUAUAAAGUGGAGAAAGAGUUUUCCACUAUCGAACUCGAGUCAAAUAAAUCUUGACAUAUGACAGACGAUGGGGUUUGACGAGUUGUCUAUGACCUCCGUCCUGUAGGGAUCCACGAUAGUAGGACUGUAUCACAUGUUAACUGCACCUAGAGGUUCAUCUUUCUAUUCUACUGGGUAGCCACUACAUGCUGCUAGGUGUCACUGGUGGAUGGUGGGACUCAUAGGGAUUAUCUUGAUGAUCGAUAAACCCUAAUGAGUUGAGUUGGAAUCGUUCCAACCCAUUGAAAGGAGUUUUCAAUGAUAUUGUGAUUGAGAUCAC
rnacentral:lncRNA from 1 species